GGUAUCACCCGAUCCACUGGUCUAUAAGAAACCUUUCGAAAUCACAGUAAAGGCUUGGGCAAUUUUCAAAUAUAAGGAAGCGUGGGGCAAAUUUGAUAUUUGGUGGGGAAAGGGCCCUGGUAACACAACCAGAUUGUUUUCUGGACAAGGCAGUUUGUGCGGAAAAACUGGAUACAAAUGUAACGGACGAAUUGGCGAUUUCCUCUUUCCUCUUCAUCAACCAAAAGGAAGUCGCGACACAAAUUCCAUUCCCCGGUUUCUACAACGCUUCUUUCAGUGUUUAUUCAAAUAAUGGUCGACGCUUGCUUUGCGGCAGACUGCAAGUGCC